rnacentral:rRNA from 1 species
UACGGGGGGGGCAAGCGUUGUUCGGAAUUACUGGGCGUAAAGGGCUCGUAGGCGGCCAACUAAGUCGGACGUGAAAUCCCUCGGCUUAACCGGGGAACUGCGUCCGAUACUGGAUGGCUUGAGUUCGGGAGAGGGAUGCGGAAUUCCAGGUGUAGCGGUGAAAUGCGUAGAUAUCUGGAGGAACACCGGUGGCGAAGGCGGCGUCCUGGACCGACACUGACGCUGAGGAGCGAAAGCCAGGGGAGCAAACGGG